UAAAAUAAUUAGUAUACCAUCAUAAAUUUCCAUUGUAGCUGUUUCUAUCAGCGACUUACUAGUUGCAUGUACUCCUUGUGUUACUUAAACAAGAAGGUAGAAUCUUCGAAAUCAUAGUCUGAUUAUAUUGUCGAUCAAAUUCCACUCCCAGCAUCUCCAAUGAUUAAUGUUGAACCAAAGCGGAAUGUAUCAUCCAAGAGUAACUAAGUGGUAAAUCAGUCGUUUGUCCAUAUCAUGCCGCCACCAUUGCGAUGAAAUCCAACCGGUUAUGAUACCGCCAUAAGGAUGCCUCACCAAUUAAGAUGGAACUUCCAACGCGACGCCUUCAAGAAGGUUGCAACACUAAUUUAGAACAUCGUCUUCAUCGCUAUUCCAGAAAUAUGUGCUGUCGCCGGCCACCUAGCUACAUCCAAAAUAUGUAUAAUUCAUUGGCUUCCCAAAUUUUAAUAGGAUUGCUUUAGGCAACAAACAAAACAGGUUCCAAUUUCAGAGUAUAAAGUAUUGGAUAUGGGACUUACACGUCACUCUAUUUCUUGCCUUCAUGUUCUUUGUUCACUAUUGGUUGACUACAUCUAUAUAUAUCGAAGUAAUUAAAUAUAUAUAUAGGUUUUGUAUCUAUAGAUACACAUUCAUAUAUAUGCACUCGAUAUAUAUAGACGCACAUCUUCUCUUCCAAAAGCUGGAAUACUCGAUCCUCACAGUCACACAGCUAGCAACGCCGGCGGCCAUGCAACCACUCGCUGCCGGCGGCGGCGUCUCUUGGCCGUUGUACGCCGCCACCGUCGCGGCGGCGCUGCUCGUCACCGCCAUCGUCCUGCGGCUCGCCGCGCGGUCGACGGCGGCCGCCUGCAAGGCACGUCCCCCCGCCGGGUCUCUCGGCUGGCCGCUCGUCGGCGAGACGCUGCAGUUCAUCUCCGCCGCCUACUCCUCCCGCCCCGAGUCCUUCGUCGAGAAGCGCUGCCGCCGGUGAGCACCACCGCCGCCGCCAUGGCACCGGCAGCGCGCGUACGUAGUAGCUGCGUCUGUGGUGCUGAAAAUUUCUCUUGUUCUUGUUGAUUGAUUGAUUCCGUAGGUACGGGAAGGUGUUCAGGUCGCACCUGUGGGGGUCGCCGGCGGUGGUGAGCGCGGACGCCGAGGCGAGCCGCGCGGUGCUGCAGAGCGACGCGUCGGCGUUCGUGCCGUGGUACCCGAGGUCGCUGAUGGAGCUGAUGGGGGAGUCGUCCAUCCUGGUGCUCGGCGGCGCCCUCCAGCGCCGGGUGCACGGCCUCGCCGGCGCCUUCUUCAAGUCGCCGGAGCUCAAGGCCCGGGUCACCGCCGACAUGCGCAGCCGCCUCGCCGCCGCCAUGGACGCGUGGCGCGCCACCGCCGCCACCGGCGCCGGCGCGGCCGUGCGCGUCCAGGACGAGGCCAAGUUGGUACGUACGUGGCAUGACACGCGCUGCUACCUACCUAGCUAUAGCUAAGCUAGGCUAACCCAAGAGAAUAUGAGGAGUAGCUUGCAUUGGAGUGGAUCGUUUGUCCGUUUAUAAGUGUCUUUUUUCUUCAACUAAUAGUGAAAUUCAUAGGAAUUUCUUCCUAGAGAAACUUCAACCCCUAUAGAAAUGGGGAUCAGAGCCUAGUUAUCAUGUUUAUGGUUUACCUAGUUCAUUAUUAGUAAUAUCUACGGAAGUACUAGAUAUCCCAGUAUAUAUAGGAUUCUACAACAUAUGGACCGAGCUCCUAACUUGAUGAAAAAGUCUUAGCCUAGCUAGAAAUAUAUCCCUUUAUGCAAAAAAAAUAUCUCGAUAAUAUUGCGUACAAUAAUGCAAACUAUAUUAAUUUUCUUAUAAAAUUUCUAGUGUGUAAGAUGAUUGUAUGUGGGAAAUAUGUAUUCUCUAUAUUAUCUUUUUUUUGUUUUUAUAUAUAGUAAUAAAUUUUAUUGUCUACGUACGUGGCACAUCUUAUUGACUUCGAUUCAAAAAGUCAAAAAAUAAUGCCAUGCUUAUACUGUACACUUAAUUGGCAUUUUUCCGUCGAAUGUGGAAUUAUAGAACUCCUUGUUCUUUAAUUUAUUUGUUCUGAUGUUGACUGGCUAACUUAAUCAUUUUUUUUUUGUUCCAUCGCUUCAUAGAUUGUUUUUGAAAUCUUAGUGAGGGCACUGAUAGGGUUAGAGCAAGGUCAGGAAAUGAAUUACCUCAGGCAGCAGUUCCACAUAUUCAUUGCCGGCCUGAUCUCCCUGCCCAUCAAGCUUCCAGGGACUCAGCUC
rnacentral:lncRNA from 1 species